rnacentral:rRNA from 1 species
UGAGGAAUAUUGGUCAAUGGGGGCAACCCUGAACCAGCCAAGUCGCGUGAAGGAUGAAGGUCUUAUGGAUUGUAAACUUCUUUUACACGGGAAUAAAGUGGGGGACGUGUCCCCCUUUGCAUGUACCGUGUGAAUAAGGAUCGGCUAACUCCGUGCCAGCAGCCGCGGUAAUACGGAGGAUCCGAGCGUUAUCCGGAUUUAUUGGGUUUAAAGGGUGCGUAGGUGGUUUGAUAAGUCAGCGGUGAAAGUUUGCAGCUUAACUGUAAAAAUGCCGUUGAAACUGUCGGACUUGAGUGUAAAUGAGGUAGGCGGAAUGCGUGGUGUAGCGGUGAAAUGCAUAGAUAUCACGCAGAACUCCGAUUGCGAAGGCAGCUUACUAAGCUACAACUGACACUGAAGCACGAAAGCGUGGGGAUCAAACA